AUAAAAACUUUACUCCCUUUAUGUUGCUUUACUCUCCUACUUUUACAAUAUAAUCAUCUUAAAUAUUUCCUCUACAUGCUGUUAGAACCACAUUGGACAUUGUUAGAAGUUUUGUUUCAACUGUCAAACAUAAUUUAGACACUCAAAAGGCAAAGGAAAGUUUAUUCUACUUACCCAUAUUUUUGCCUAUCAUAUUCUUUCUUUCUUCCCAAUGUUCCAAGAUUCUUUCUUUUUGUUUAGAGAACUUCCUUUAACCAUUCCUUUAGGGUAGUUCUCCUAGUGACAAAUUCCCUUAGUUUUCCUUCAUCUUAGAAAAUCUGGACUCCCUCCUUGCUCCUGAAGGAUAUUUUUACAAUCUGGAAUUCCAGGUUGAUAGUCCUUUUCUUUUGGCACUUAAAAAAUGUUGUGCCAUUUCCUUCUGGCCUCUGUGAUUUCAGCUGAGAAAUCUGCUGUCAUUUGAAUGAUUUUUCCUAUAUCAGUAGGGUGUUUCUCUCUCACUGCUUUCAGAAUUUUUCUUUGUCUUUAAUUGUUACAUGCAUAACUAUAAUGUAGCUUGGCAUGGAUAUUUUUUAAGUUCAUCCUGUUUGGGGUUCACUCAGCUUUUUGAAUCUACACGUUUAUGACUUUUGCUAAAUUUGGGAAGUUUCCAGCCACUCUUUCUUUACACACUUUUUCAGUCUCAACCUCUUUCUUGUCUCCUUCUAGUACUCUAAUGACACAAUGUUAGGUUUUUUGUUAUAGUCAUACAGGUUCCUAAGUCUCCGAUCAUUUUAAUUUAAUUAGGGGUAAUUUCUAUCAUUCUUUCUUUCAGUUUACUGCUUCUUUCCUCUGAUCUCUCCAUUCAGCUAUGGAGUCCAUACAUUGAGUUUUUUAUUCUGGUUAUUGUGUUUUGAAGUUCUAAAAUUUAAGUUUCUUUAUUGCUUUUAAUUCUUUGCCAACACGUUUACUUUUUCAUUUGUUUCAACCAAGUUUAUAAUUGCUCAUUGAAGCAUUUAUAUGAUGGCUACUUUAAAAAAAUUUUAGCUGAAU
rnacentral:lncRNA from 1 species